UGUAGCUCCUCGGCGAGACUGACAGGGCUUUCGGCUGCUCAGCACCAGGCAGGCAGCCCUGGGGAGGAGGCUGCUUCCCUUCCUGAGGAUUCUUGUUUCCCAGGAAUAAGGGAGUAGCCGUGCUGGAUGUGAUCUCAUGCGCCGGCAGCCUGACCGCAUCCCCAGCUGGAGCAGUGGGAAGGCGGGCACGUGUGCUGGCAGUGAAGCCGUGUGGCUCCCAUGGCUGCCAAACAAGCUCUCUUCAGACCUGCAGUGGCCACAAAGGUGCUACGGACCACUCAUGGAGUGGCUAAAAGCAAGGACCAUGCCAUGAUGUGCAGCCAGGAGGGAAGUCGUGCUUAGGAGGUUAUGUCCCACUUGGUAAAUCUAUGGCAUAUCCUAGUCAUGCCAACUCCCCUUCAGCCUCAGAGCAAACAGAGCUGAAGAGGACAGGCUCCAGGGACAGAUGCUAACAACAUGGGCUGGGGAAGAUUUCCACGUGAGGAGAAAGAACAAAAGGACUGGAACAGAUUAGAAAUGCGGCAGGGAGGUGAGCUCAGAGCUAAGUGAGGUCUGAUGCAGUAGAAAAACAUGUACUGCAGGAAGAAGUUGUUUACAGAAAAUCAAAAUGUAGUACACUGGAAACUGAACAAUCAAGUCCAAACUCCAUCAAGUCAAGGAGAAAUUCAGGCUGGUUGCUGACUGCUCUGUAAUGUCUGCUGAGAUGUCUCACUUCACUUUGAAGUCUAUGACAUGGCAUCACCAGAACCAGACUGAACCAGAACCACAUCAGACUCAUUUGGGGCCAAAACACCUAUUUUCUUGUGUGCGUUGGGUGUACUCAACUAGUAAGAACUGCACAUUUUUAAAUAAAGAUUAAGGACUCAUACUACUUAGGCUGAGCCUUCUGAAGACACCUGACCAGCCUCUAGGCUUGAAGUCAAUCAAAGAAUGUUGAUUGAGAGAAGCUGAGAAGUUCGUCUAUCUUUUAGUGAAUUUGUACUUUUUCAUGCGUCAAUAAAUCAUGGUCCAUAUAUGACAG
rnacentral:lncRNA from 7 species